rnacentral:rRNA from 1 species
AUUGAACGCUGGCGGCGUGCUUAACACAUGCAAGUCGAUCGGUAACGCGGGGGCAACCCUGGCGACGAGAGGCGGACGGGUGAGGAACGCUUGGGAAUCUGCCCUUCAGCGGGGGACAACACGGGGAAACUCGUGCUAAUACCGCAUACGCUCCACGGAGGAAAGCCGGGGACCGCAAGGCCUGGCACUGAAGGAUGAGCCUAAGUCGGAUUAGCUAGUUGGUGGGGUAAAGGCCUACCAAGGCGACGAUCUGUAGCGGGUCUGAGAGGAUGAUCCGCCACACUGGGACUGAGACACGGCCCAGACUCCUACGGGAGGCAGCAGUGGGGAAUAUUGGACAAUGGGGGGAACCCUGAUCCAGCCAUGCCGCGUGUGUGAAGAAGGCCUUAUGGUUGUAAAGCACUUUAAGCGAGGAGGAGGCUACUGAGACUAAUACUCUUGGAUAGUGGACGUUACUCGCAGAAUAAGCACCGGCUAACUCUGUGCCAGCAGCCGCCGUAAAAC